GGAUGAACGCUGGCGGCGUGCCUAAUACAUGCAAGUCGAGCGAACGGACGAGAAGCUUGCUUCUCUGAUGUUAGCGGCGGACGGGUGAGUAACACGUGGAUAACCUACCUAUAAGACUGGGAUAACUUCGGGAAACCGGAGCUAAUACCGGAUAAUAUUUUGAACCGCAUGGUUCAAAAGUGAAAGACGGUCUUGCUGUCACUUAUAGAUGGAUCCGCGCUGCACUAGCUAGUUGGUAAGGUAACGGCUUACCAAGGCAACGAUGCAUAGCCGACCUGAGAGGGUGAUCGGCCACACUGGAACUGAGACACGGUCCAGACUCCUACGGGAGGCAGCAGUAGGGAAUCUUCCGCAAUGGGCGAAAGCCUGACGGAGCAACGCCGCGUGAGUGAUGAAGGUCUUCGGAUCGUAAAACUCUGUUAUUAGGGAAGAACAUAUGUGUAAGUAACUGUGCACAUCUUGACGGUACCUAAUCAGAAAGCCACGGCUAACUACGUG
rnacentral:rRNA from 1 species